rnacentral:rRNA from 1 species
CCUACGGGUCGCAGCAGCGGGGAAUAUUGCACAAUGGGCGCAAGCCUGAUGCAGCCAUGCCGCGUGUGUGAAGAAGGCCUUCGGGUUGUAAAGUACUUUCAGCGGGGAGGAAGGCGAUAAGGUUAAUAACCUUGUCGAUUGACGCUACCCGCAGAAGAAGCACCGGCUAACUCCGUGCCAGCAGCCGCGGUAAUACGGAGGGUGCAAGCGUUAAUCGGAAUUACUGGGCGUAAGGCGCACGCAGGCGGUCUGUCAAGUCGGAUGUGAAAUCCCCGGGCUUAACCUGGGAACUGCAUUCGAAACUGGCAGGCUAGAGUCUUGUAGAGGGGGGUAGAAUUCCAGGUGUAGCGGUGAAAUGCGUAGAGAUCUGGAGGAAUACCGGUGGCGAAGGCGGCCCCCUGGACAAAGACUGACGCUCAGGUGCGAAAGCGUGGGGAGCAAACAGGAUUAGAUACCCCUGUAGUC